UCCAAUUGGAUGUACAGCAGGCUGAAUAUGCGACAAAAUCAGCAAGAGAAUUAUUUUUAAAUCUCCAAAUUUCCUUCUUGCUAGCGGUGGCCGACUCCAAUUGAAUCAAGGAAUUAACUCAGCCUUGAAGAGUUUAAUUGAAAAUAAAACUCUAGUAGGCUGGAGCUAAUUUUAUGCGAUGGGUUCAGCUAGGAAAAGGGGGAUAAGAUCAAAUUUAAUUUUGAAUUGUUGGAGGUUAUUAUCCCAUAAAUAGAGAUGACCAGCAGCUGAAAAAGGUGUCAAAAAACAGAGGAAAACAAUACAGCAGCAGAGAGGCAUGGCACUCGAGCAAAGGAAAACCUCAAAUUGAAUAAGCAAAAGCCGAACAAGCAAUUGAAGUAGCAGCCCAGAAUUUCAGCUAAUCGGAAGAAGGGAAGCUCGACGAUUGGAGAAAUUUUCUUCUCCAAGACUCAGUUUGUAAUUUAUGCUGAUUAUAAUUGAUUCUUGUUUCGUUUCAAUUGCUAUGAGUGGUUAGAAUAUUCAAGCUUAGUUAGACACUUAUGAAACCUAGCACAAGGAAUUUGUAGAUUUAUUUUAAAUUUGGAUUUGGCAUUCUUGAGUUGCUUGCUUUAUCGUUCAAGGAAUUUUUCUAAAUCAAUUAGAUUGAUCACCUACUUAAUUUAGUUAGACACUUAGAACUGGUGAUGAUUAAUUGGCAUGCCGCUAAUUGAAGCAACUACGAAUUUAAUUUUGGAAGCCGCUGGAGGAUUUUCUUUAAUUAAAACAAGGUGAAGUCCCUAAAACUCUAAAAAAACCUUUAAUAAGUCGACAUAGAGAUAAUUAAAGGUAGGUUUCAAUUAUGAACGUUCUCUAAUUGAACAAUUUACUAGGGAUAAGAAGUCGCUUCGUAAGUGAUUUAUUUAGCCUUGCUGCUGAUUUGGCUUAUUAGAAUAAUUUAAGGCUGCAAAGGAUUUGUGCUGGGUGGAUUAAGGCGUCAAUAACUAAGCAAUUAUUUUCCUUGAUAAUUUUCAGCAUUCUCAAUUCAAGCUAAAGCUUAUAUGCUACUUUAGAUUAUUUUUAGCAAUCGUAAAACAUAAAUUUCCCCCAUUUUUCUCCUUUCUCGCAUGCAUUUUACAUUACUUUAAUUUUAAAUCACUUCAAAU
rnacentral:lncRNA from 1 species